rnacentral:rRNA from 1 species
AGAGUUUGAUCCUGGCUCAGAUUGAACGCUGGCGGCAGGCUUAACACAUGCAAGUCGAGCGGGGAAAGGUAGCUUGCUACCUGACCUAGCGGCGGACGGGUGAGUAAUGCUUAGGAAUCUGCCUAUUAGUGGGGGACAACAUUCCGAAAGGAAUGCUAAUACCGCAUACGCCCUACGGGGGAAAGCAGGGGAUCUUCGGACCUUGCGCUAAUAGAUGAGCCUAAGUCAGAUUAGCUAGUUGGUGGGGUAAAGGCCUACCAAGGCGACGAUCUGUAGCGGGUCUGAGAGGAUGAUCCGCCACACUGGGACUGAGACACGGCCCAGACUCCUACGGGAGGCAGCGGUGGGGAAUAUUGGACAAUGGGCGCAAGCCUGAUCCAGCCACGCCGCGUGUGUGAAGAAGGCCUUUUGGUUGUAAAGCACUUUAAGCGAGGAGGAGGCUACCGAGAUUAAUACUCUUGGAUAGUGGACGUUACUCGCAGAAUAAGCACCGGCUAACUCUGUGCCAGCAGCCGCGGUAAUA